GACGAACGCUGGCGGCGUGCCUAAUACAUGCAAGUAGAACGCUGAAGAGAGGAGCUUGCUCUUCUUGGAUGAGUUGCGAACGGGUGAGUAACGCGUAGGUAACCUGCCUGGUAGCGGGGGAUAACUAUUGGAAACGAUAGCUAAUACCGCAUAAAAUUGAUUAUUGCAUGAUAAUUAAUUGAAAGAUGCAACCGCAUCACUACCAGAUGGACCUGCGUUGUAUUAGCUAGUUGGUGAGGUAACGGCUCACCAAGGCGACGAUACAUAGCCGACCUGAGAGGGUGAUCGGCCACACUGGGACUGAGACACGGCCCAGACUCCUACGGGAGGCAGCAGUAGGGAAUCUUCGGCAAUGGGGGGAACCCUGACCGAGCAACGCCGCGUGAGUGAAGAAGGUUUUCGGAUCGUAAAGCUCUGUUGUAAGAGAAGAACGGGUGUGAGAGUGGAAAGUUCACACUGUGACGGUAUCUUACCAGAAAGGGACGGCUAACUACGUG
rnacentral:rRNA from 1 species